rnacentral:piRNA from 1 species
UGUGCUUUCAUGUGCAUUGAC